UUUACUUUCUUCUUUUUCUGAUUUUCAAAAUCGCUGCUGGGUAGGCAUUAUUUGAAUCGGGUAAAUUGUUGGUCCAUUGUUUAAGAGUUCUAUUGCUGCCUUUUAAUCCCCUAAUAAUCACACCAUGAAAAGAGUAGAGUUGGUGAAGCAAAUUCAUAAAGAAGGAGCGUGCAGAGUAGACGUGAUUUUUAUAGGAUGAAAUUCAGUGAUUAGAGAACUGGCAGAUGGUAAGCAACACAAUCGAUGCCUAUUUUAGUCUAAUUUGAUCAAUGUCAUCCCACUAUGUUCAGUUGUUCACUCCAGUUAACUUUCCUGACAAAAAGUCCUUUAAACAAAUGGAAGUGUUAACACUAAUUUUCUCUUGAGAAAAAGACACAUAAAAAUGAGGUCAUAAAGGAGAAGGGGUUGACUGGGAAAAUUAGUGUUUGUUUUUAGAAGUGUUUGAAUAUUUUUAUUUUUGAACUUCUUUAAUUUACUGAAACUUUUAUAAGUUUGUAGAAUAUUGAAAUAGAACGGGAUAAGUGUUACUCAUCUGGUGUGAUCAUAAAGAGAUACAAGUAUGCCAAAAAACCUCUCGACUUUUGUUUUCUUGACCUGUAGUUUGCAGAUUGAACAUUUUAUUCAAGUGGUGAAAACAGAGGUGAUGUUAUGUACUGUAGUAAACAUUAAAAGGUUCAUUUUUUGGGUAGAAAAAGGGUUGUCUUAUGAGGCAUUUACAGGUGAAUUAGUAAUAGGGAAUUUGAAUGCCAUAUGUUUUUUUUGUCUGAGUUAGUUAUCACAGAACAAUAUUGCUAUAGGGUAGAGAUAAUAAAAAGGGCAUCAAUCACACACGCCAUAUAGAAAACUUAGAUGAUCAAGAAGACCGACUAAUAAUUUCAAGAUUUAACCAUCUACUUCUCUUCCUUUGAGCCAAGGUUGCUGGUAUAUCACUUUUCAAAAUGUCGUUGACCCUGUUUCCAAGUCAGUGGCUGCUACUGGAAAGUUUAAAUAGCAAACCACCUGAAGCAAUUAGAGUAUCCGCACUUACAGUUCUAUGCACUGUUGGCGGAUGUACAAUUUGAUGUAAAGCAAGUAACUUUUGCAUUGAUAUUACCUAUUACUCACAGCUAUUAGCUCUAAUGGUUCCUCAACUCCAUAUGAAAUCUUUCGCAGAUGUGCUCAUUCUAUAUAAACUUUUAGUUAAUGAUUCUUGCUACUGAUAUACACCACUCUAUACAAGUUGCUUUCUUUCCUAGGUAGAAAUUGAUAUCAUUGAAGAUGCAACUUUUCUAAAUGUUGUUGUGAAGGUAAAUAUGUGGUUAAGAUGGCAAUAUUAUUAUUAUGCUCAUUUUGUUUGGAGGCCUCAUCUUUGAAGCUCGAGAUUCCUUUUUAAUUUGCUAAUUGGUUGACUGAAUUUGUAUUUCUACCUUCUCUUUGUAUGAUUUUUACUUGUGGAGGGUUGAACCUUUAGCUCCUACCAAGUAUUAUCCUUUAGCUCAUACCAGGUAUAACCUUUAGAUCCUACCAACAUCUGUACCGAUCCUCGCUACUAAACCUGUGGCACAUUAUUGAUCUCAGCUCAUCCUUGCUUAAUGAUCUCUUCACUGUUGUAUUUAGAGUUGAGACAAAAUUUCAGAUUAUCUCAUGUCUUAAGCCUUAUAUUGUUAUAUACAAAUAGAAAACCCCAUAAUCUGGUCUUAAAUAUUGUGUGCUAGCCUCAAGAAGAACUGUUGGUGCAUUUUUUGUAUGCUUCGUUCGCUCUUCCAUUUGGCUUAAGUUGAUCUUCAAUAUUUUAGUAUUAGGUCUAAAAAAACACUAAUAUUAAGAUGAAUGACAUAGACCUCCAUAAACAAUAAAUUGCAGUCAAUUUUUUUUUUUUUUUUUAGCAUCAGUAGGUAUAUCAACAGUAUGAAUAGCCGUUUCACAUAUAUCUGCAUGUGGUUGGAUUUUGAAUCAUUUCAUGGAAUGCAUGAUAAAUUUAAAAUGUACUGGACCAAAUUUCCUUUUCCAUUAUGCUUAUAUGUAGGUUUAUUGUACACACACUGUUCCAGAUUAUUCCCUCCCUUGGCAGAAACAAAGCCAAUUUGCAAGUACAGGAAGGCAUGCAUUUCCAGUUUUUGCUCAAAUUUAUUAUUUUCUUUAAAGUUGUGAGGAAAAAGGAAAAUCUCCUGCAAAAAGUUAUUCUCGAUUGGGCUUAAUAGCGUAUGAUUCCCAUUACGGGGCAUGAAAUGAAGUUGGUUCCAUAAUGUGCAAUUAUUUAUGAGGAAUUUUUGUUUGUACAAGAAUUCAAUGUUAUGUGUAUGUGUGUUGCAUCUUUUAGGACAGGGGGUGAGAGUGUCUACAAGUUUGACUGUUGUUUGAUCUGUUCAGUGCUUUCAUGAUUGGUGAUGUGAAACUCUUGACGCACAUUGUGUUGAACAUAAUACCCAGCCAUCCGUAAUGAUGACGGAAGCAGACCCUGCGAGCCGACUGUUUCUUGACUUACAAGGCUGGGAAGACCACAUAGAAAGAUAAGUUGAAAAACCUGGAUGAGGAAAGCUCAUCUAACAAGGGUGAAGAAGCAUCUGAGAGGCCAAAUAUGAGUUCGCUUUCAGAAGAUACGUGGUGUUGUCGAACACACACACGAGGAGAUUUACCAGAGUUCAUAUCUUUUUCAACUGCAAAAUAUUAGUAUUCUAAGACUAUUGCAGGUCAAUUUCUUGGCCCGAUAACUUUGGUGAUUAAUUUUUGCAAACAAAUGAGUAUGAAUGGCAAAGAAGUUUUGUCAAUUGCUUAUCCGUCGAUGAUAGGAACUCAACCAAAGGCAUCCCAAGAUGAGGUUGCUAAAGAGAUCAGUUCUGUGGAGGAGGCGUGAGGGAAAUAGAGAAUCAUGUUAAAUAUUUUUAUGUUCAACAUCUCCCAUUGUAGUUGAGUCAUUUGUAAUCUGAUACGUGUCAAUUGUGUUGUCUAAAAAUAUUGUAGACAUUUAUGCCCUAAUCUGGAUGUUAUAACACAUAGAGACUCCCUCGCCUGUUGCAAAUA